GCAAGUCGAGCGGUAACAGGAAGUAGCUUGCUAGAAGAUGACGAGUGGCGGACGGGUGAGUAAUGCUUGGGAACUUGCCUUUGCGAGGGGGAUAACAGUUGGAAACGACUGCUAAUACCGCAUAAUGUCUUCGGACCAAACGGGGCUUAGGCUCCGGCGCAAAGAGAGGCCCAAGUGAGAUUAGCUAGUUGGUGAGGUAAAGGCUCACCAAGGCAACGAUCUCUAGCUGUUCUGAGAGGAUGAUC
rnacentral:rRNA from 1 species